GAUUUUAAGCUUCCUACGGGAGGCUGCAGUGGGGAAUCUUGCGCAAUGGGUGAAAGCCUGACGCAGCCAUGCCGCGUGAAUGAUGAAGGUCUUAGGAUUGUAAAAUUCUUUCACCGGGGACGAUAAUGACGGUACCCGGAGAAGAAGCCCCGGCUAACUUCGUGCCAGCAGCCGCGGUAAUACGAAGGGGGCUAGCGUUGCUCGGAAUUACUGGGCGUAAAGGGAGCGUAGGCGGACAUUUAAGUCAGGGGUGAAAUCCCGGGGCUCAACCUCGGAAUUGCCUUUGAUACUGGGUGUCUUGAGUAUGAGAGAGGUGUGUGGAACUCCGAGUGUAGAGGUGAAAUUCGUAGAUAUUCGGAAGAACACCAGUGGCGAAGGCGACACACUGGCUCAUUACUGACGCUGAGGCUCGAAAGCGUGGGGAGCAAACAGGAUUAGAUACCCUUGUAGUCGAAUUCU
rnacentral:rRNA from 1 species